AUUGAACGCUGGCGGCAUGCUUUACACAUGCAAGUCGAACGGUAACAGGCCGCAAGGUGCUGACGAGUGGCGAACGGGUGAGUAAUGCAUCGGAACGUGCCCAGUCGUGGGGGAUAACGCAGCGAAAGCUGCGCUAAUACCGCAUACGAUCUGUGGAUGAAAGCGGGGGACCGUAAGGCCUCGCGCGAUUGGAGCGGCCGAUGUCAGAUUAGGUAGUUGGUGGGGUAAAGGCUCACCAAGCCAACGAUCUGUAGCUGGUCUGAGAGGACGACCGGCCACACUGGGACUGAGACACGGCCCAGACUCCUACGGGAGGCAGCAGUGGGGAAUUUUGGACAAUGGGCGCAAGCCUGAUCCAGCAAUGCCGCGUGCAGGAAGAAGGCCUUCGGGUUGUAAACUGCUUUUGUACGGAACGAAACGGUCCUGGUUAAUACCUGGGGCUAAUGACGGUACCGUAAGAAUAGGCACCGGCUAACUACGUGCCAGCCGCCGCAGUAAAAC
rnacentral:rRNA from 1 species